ensembl:lncRNA
UGUCUGUACAUAGGGCUUGUCUGAGACAGAACCUAGGUCAGUGUGUCUGUACAUAGGGCUUGUCUGAGACAGAACCUAGGUCAGUGUGUCUGUACAUGGGGCUUGUCUGAGACAGAACCUAGGUCAGUGUGUCUGUACAUGGGGCUUGUCUGAGACAGAACCUAGGUCAGUGUGUCUGUACAUAGGGCUUGUCUGAGACAGAACCCAGUGUGUCUGUACAUAGGGCUUGUCUGAGACAGAACCCAGUGUGUCUGUACAUGGGGCUUGUCUGAGACAGAACCCAGUGUGUCUGUACAUGGGGCUUGUCUGAGACAGAACCCAGUGUGUCUGUACAUAGGGCUUGUCUGAGACAGAACCCAGUGUGUCUGUACAUAGGGCUUGUCUGAGACAGAACCUUUGGUAAAAACGGUUUCUGGAACUUCACUGAAGAAAUGGAAGGUUGCUGAUCUGUGUUUUAUACAGCUGAAUGGAUUCUCUAUGUUCAAUUAAAGACAAU